CAAGAUGUUCUGCCUCACCAUGGGCCCAAAAUCAAUGGGACAAAUUAACCAUUAACUGAAGCCUCCAAAACUGUAAGCCAAAAUAAACCUGUUUUCAUUACACGUUUUUUUUUUUAAUCUCAGAUAUUUGUUAUAGUAACAGGAAGUUGACACCCAUGAUGUCCUGGAUAUGAUUCUUCAAAAAUGAAGCACCCAAAGUUCAGACCCCGUGGAUGGAUCUAGGCACCCCACUUUCUGUUUCCAGUCUGGUAUCUCCUUUGGUUUAAUGAAGAUUGAGCUAGACUUCAGCCCAAGAAUGUCCAUAUUAUACACUAAGGUUUCACAUAAAAUUUUACUUGGAAAAAAAUUUUGGCGGGGGGGGGGGGCGGCGAAAACAAGUCUGGUGUUUUGUUAUGUUCAUUGAUUUUUACUCUAAGAUCCUGUGCUUCAAAACAUUUUCACCCUGAGAAAAACAAAUGCUUAGAAACUAUUAAUUUCUUGGGUUGCUAUAAUGAAGUUCAAUGCAUUGGGUGGCUAAAGACAAGAGGAAUUUAUUCUCUCACAGUUCUGAAGGCUAAAACUCCAAAGCCAACGUGGCGGCAGGUGGUUUACUUCUUGGAACUAGGAGAACCUGCCCAGGCCUCUCCCCCAGUGCCAGUGGCUGCCGGUACUCCUCCCUACUAGGCCUGAGGAAGCAGCACUCCAAUUUCCCUCUCCAUUGCCACAUGCCUGUCCUCCUCUGUUUGUCCCUGUGCCUCUUCUUGUAAGGAUAUUGAAAAUAGAUCUUGGCCCACCCUAAUCAAGAAUGAACUCAAUUUCAUUACAUCAACAAAGACAAAAUCUCUUGUUGAGAUUCUGAGUAGACACAAAUUUUAUGGGGAUUCUAUGCAAAACAGAGGCUAAUGCUGGGUGGUCCAGAUGAAAUAGACUUUUCAUCCAUUACCAGCUGAUAACAUAUAGGAGUCAUGCAACCAUUUAAUAAUCAUUUGCUGAUAACUUGUUAUCCAUGGGGGCUCAACUUUCAGCCCAAUAAAUAAGGCACAAACCUCCAAGAUGUCGUAGCCUUUGAGGUGAAUGGUGUAUUCCCAGGACUGACUUCAAAGUAAGCCCACCAUAGUUCUGUAUUAUACCAUGGCAUUUGGGGACAAUUGGUAAGAAUUAGUCAGCUGCCCCUGCUGUAGAUGUGCCUUUUGUAGAGCAAAUAAAUGAGCCUUAAAAGAUUUUGACAUUUGGAAGAUAAAGGAGCAAUUGAUCCAUCCACCAAGAUAAAAUAAGAAUUGGCAAGGACCAGUGGGCAUGACCUGCCUUCCCUCUUGUUUUCUGUACAAAAUCCAGGGGAAUGAGGCAUUCAGCUGCAUCUCUGUGUUCUGCUGGUUCCCCUGAUCACCUGAGAAAGGAGCAGUAUCCAUGGUUUUUGCACAUUCAGGGACAAAACAUGGAUUUGUCUAGCAAAAUAAACAACUCAGAAUAAUAGAGUCAUCUUAAGACCUGUGAGACACCCAGGAUGUAGUUUCUGCUUUCACGGGAGGAUCAUUCUCCAAAUCAGUUGAAUAGACAGCAAUGGCUCUAAUUAGCUGAUGGAAUUACAGUGCAUUAAUACAAGGUUCAAUUUUUUUUUCCCUAGGAAAUGAAGUCCUUGGAGUAUCCCACAUAAGACAUGAAAAUGUCCUUUGUACCCUAUGAGAUGGCAAAGUUUGUCAAGAAAAGAAGAGAGAAGGCCUGGAGGGCAAGCAGACCUCCAGGAAGUCAUCCAGGGUGCCCUCCUGCCACCACGAAAGACGGCUCCAACCUGGACAGGUGGCGAACCAGCCUGGCAACAGAGAUCACUGAGAAGCACGUGUUGAGGGGCCUGUUCCUUGCAAUAUUUUCAACCCUGGGUCAGGAAGUCUUUUCUACAAUUUGACUUCAGAUCCUAUCACUCAAGGGCUACUGGUUAACCCUUCAUAAUAUUAAAG
rnacentral:lncRNA from 1 species